CAUCCAAAUUACUCCACCCAGGCCAGGCCCUUCGUGUUCCUUACAGGACUCUUCCAGAACCCUAGGGCCCAGGAGGGUGCCAUAAACUGCUGUCUCUCACCUGUUGAUGGAGCUGACACUGGGGACAGUGUCAUUGUCACAAACGCCUUCUGCCAGGAGCCGGUCCCGGAUCUCCCAAGCAAACAUGCUGGAAAUAAGUGCAUCCAAACCUGUAUCUGGAUGUAACGCUCCCAUGGUAAAUAACGUUUAAAGAAAGACAUGGCAUCCUUUCAUUCCUGGUGAAAGUCCACUUUGCUUUUCUGCCUCUGGAAUGUCAGCAUAAUGGCAGAGGUAUCCAGGCUUAAGAAUAUUGCCUGUGGUGGCCCUGAGACUCUCUGUCCCCAAUGCUUCAUGGAAAGGAUGAGGCCUGCUGCUGUUGCUGUUCCCCAUAGCUUUGUCCUGACCCAGCAAGGGCCAUUAAGCCCAACUUCAUUGCCCACCACACUGAAGGGCUUAGUUUUGGCCAAUAGACACCUGUGUAAGAUUGGAGGUAGCUGUGUACUGGGCUUGGGACAGAUGCCAAAGGCCCCAAGGAGAAGAAUUGCUCCAAAAUUCUAAAGUAGAGCAGAAUGGUAGGGAUGGCAGUGUCUUCUGAGCAGUGGGUCCUGCCUGAAUAAUGUGCCCUCAAUGCCUCAUCCUCAGGAUACCAAAGGCUGAACUCUGGGAGGAAUAAGUCCUUAAAAUUGCCACUAGUAACUAUCCAGCUCAAGGAAGAUCCACCAUGACCUCCAGGGACCCAGUGAUAUUUGAUGCAGCUACUAGCAAAUGAUCACCUGUCCCUGUGCCUCAGCUUAUGAGAACAAUGCUGAACCCAAGAAUGUCUACUGAACCUCCAUGACCAUCCAUGUUCUUUAAUUUUAUAAGGUCCUGGGGUCAGGGAAACAGGGCAUGGCUGGAUACAGCAUAUUCCCUUAUUCAGAUCUGAAACCAUACACUACAAAACCAAGAUGGUAUGGGCUGUUUCCCCAUUCAAAAAUGAUCUCACAAUCCAGAGCAGAGACCCAGGGAGCUUGAAGUCUACAUCCCCACUUGGUCUAUUAUCACUUUCUUGCAACUGUGGAUUCAACCAGAAUAUAACCAGUCACACCUGUAAUUUCAUACCUGAGUCUCUCGGAGUCUCUGAGAACAGAGGGGCUUCUCUUUCCCAUUUAUCACCUCUAGUUCUAGGGCAAUUUCAAAGCAUUGAAAGUUUUAUUCCCAGUGUGUUUAUGUGUGUUAGAAGGUAGUGUAUGCAAACUUAUAUCUGCCAGUAUAUGUGGUAUAUGUAUGAGAUAGAGAACUAAACUGAAAAUGGCCAGGUGUCCAGACUACAAAAUUUAAGAAGCCAGUCACUCAUUCUCAGAACUGGCCAUGCUCUUGCAUGAGCUCACAAGAACCUUUAUACUUCUCUCUAGUUUCAGCCGUGUGUGUGUAUGUGUGUGUGUGUGUGUGUGUGUGNNNNNNNNNNNNNNNNNNNNNNNNNNNNNNNNNNNNNNNUCUCUCUCUCUCUCUCUCUCUCUCUCUCUCUCUCUCUCUCUCUCUCUCUCUCUCUCAUCUUAAUCUACCCUCCCCACACUUUGGGAUGUACCACAAAGUGACUGAGAAAGCUCUGGGUUUUAAGAAGACGUCCCUGCUCUAACACAGGACUGUAGGACCUGGAUCCAGAUGUGCAAACUCCCAGUCUCCUGUAAGUACAGUGUGAUGACAGGGCCACAUCUGUGACUCUCUUGACCUUAACACUUCCGGGACAGUUAGACUAUUUAGUGGUAUUAAAUACUAAGAGGCUCUUGGCGUUUGUGUUUGAGUGUCCUGACAGACCCAUACAUAGCUCAAGCCUAGAGUAUAGGAGCUAUAAAGAUAAAUACCCCUAUGCAAAUAGACUACAAACAGCCAUAAAAUCACAGCAGUAAGAUUUCUUGAGAAAAUGAUGAAGAGGAAAAAAGUAGAAAACUUUACAAGAGUUGGUGGGUCUGCUGAAAAUAGUUCAGAUACAGGUAACAAGUGCUUCACAUACAACAUCAACGCUUUGAGGCAGGACCAGUGAGUCCCAACCACUGACAAAAUCAACAGCUCCUGAACUCAGCCAUGAACACAGUAUAAACAGUCAGAAGAGCUUCAGAGCUGGGUGUGCCUGAUCCUACAGGCAGCCUUUCAAGACCCCCUUUUAAUCCUCUACCAACGGGAACCUUAGGUUCUCUGGGCUCAAACAGAAAAAAGUAGUCUGCAAACAGUGAAAGGCUGAGACAAUUGUAUCUACACUGCAUGAUACAGAGAACAACUUCUAGAGAGAUGAAAUCUGAACAGUACAUCCUGGGCUGGCGCUGAUGUGCUGCUGAGCCGCGGGUAUUCCCAGGCAGAGGACCCCUUCCAUCUGAUGGAGCCUAGCAUUUCAGCUCUGCAGAAAUGCGCAUCUGUUCAUGAUACUGACACCUAUAAUUCUGCCUCAUUUUGAGUUGUCCAGCCAUAUGGAGAUGAAUCUCCAGGAGAUUGCUGUUCCUAUCCAGAAUCCCAGGAUAUCUCUCUGGAGCAGAAUGCUUCUAGGAUCCACCAGACCACAGAUGGCCACAGGAGGUUUAUAUGUCAGCCAUGAUGAUGUGGUUUCUUUCUAGUAGCGGUUCAAGGCAAAUGAUCUCAGCUUCCUGGUGCUUCCAAAUGACCUGUCUGUCUGUGUUUGUCUUCAUCCUGCCCCUGAACUGUUUUGUCUGCUCAUUGCCAGUGCUGGUACUCUGGGUCUGUUCCCUUUAAAAGGAUACACAGGAAUCUACUUUCUUGCCCUGAGUUGGUGCCUCUCAACUCUUCAUGAUGGAAGCCCAGCCACUCACCUUUUUUUGUCCUGGCCACAAGUGUUAGCAUCCCUGGUGUGAAGCCCUGAAUAUGGUAGGCGGCACUUCAUGCAGGCUAGUUAAGCUGAAAUAAACUGCUGCCUCUCAGAUUCCAGCUGCUUCU
rnacentral:lncRNA from 1 species